CUUUAGCUCAAUUGGAUAGAGCAUCUGACUACGGAUCAGAAGGUUGGAGGUUCAAAUCCUCCAAG
rnacentral:tRNA from 2 species